rnacentral:rRNA from 1 species
AUUGAACGCUGGCGGCAUGCUUUACACAUGCAAGUCGAACGGUAACAGGUUAAGCUGGCGAGUGGCGAACGGGUGAGUAAUGCAUCGGAACGUGCCCGAUCGUGGGGGAUAACGCAGCGAAAGCUGCGCUAAUACCGCAUACGAUCUGAGGAUGAAAGCGGGGGACCGUAAGGCCUCGCGCGAUCGGAGCGGCCGAUGUCAGAUUAGGUAGUUGGUGGGGUAAAGGCUCACCAAGCCAACGAUCUGUAGCUGGUCUGAGAGGACGACCAGCCACACUGGGACUGAGACACGGCCCAGACUCCUACGGGAGGCAGCAGUGGGGAAUUUUGGACAAUGGGCGAAAGCCUGAUCCAGCAAUGCCGCGUGCAGGAAGAAGGCCUUCGGGUUGCAAACUGCUUUUGUACGGAGCGAAAAGGCUCUCUCUAAUACAGGGGGCUCAUGACGGUACCGUAAGAAUAAGCACCGGCUAACUACGUGCCAGCAGCCGCAGUAA